rnacentral:tRNA from 1 species
GCCUGGAAAGUGUGUAUACGGCAACGUAUCGGGGGUUCGAAUCCCCCCCUCACCGCCAGAUUAUA